ensembl:lncRNA
GGUUCAACCAAGGAAGUGGACCCACCGGCCCUUCUACACCCCCCCCCCCCUCCUACUAGGGAACGUCUCCAAACUAUCCGUCUCGGAACACCGGGCUUGAGAAUAUUGUCCUUGUAACAUCCUGCCUCGCUGAGGCAGCACGGCGGGUCGUGAACCGUUCAGAUUGGACGUGUGGAUGAGCCUCUGUCUCGCUGGGGGGUCUGUGGUCUCUUUACCUGUGUCCGUCAUGGCUCCCCCACCUUAGUUGAUGGAGAAAGUGACGUUCCACCCCAGACAGUAAAAAAAUGUAACUUUUAAUUUUGGCUUUUAUUUAAGGCGCCUCACACGGCCGGCGUCGCUGUUUUCCUCUUUGUACAUAAAUGAAUCAUAUUUUAUUUUGCUUUUAUUGUGAUUUUUUUUUUUGUUCUCCAGAAGUGAUCUUGUCGUGAAUUCCUGUUCGCAUGUGACGUAUUUCUGGUGUCCGUGUGUUUAUACCAGCUGAUGCUGAACACUGCGCUGGAAUCAUUAAAGGGACGUUUCACUUCGCUUUGACGUGUUGUGAAGUCGAUGUUCGUUUCCUGUACACACAAGCCCCGCCUCCUGCCAGGAGUCAUGGGCCCCUUCUCGAUAAACAUUGGUCAUGGAAAAGUCAUGUUAGGUCAAAUAUUUUAAAGAAAAAUUCGAUAUGUAAUGUCAGUCAUUUCUAUGGAUGUCAUGGAAAAGUGAAAUCUUGCAACAUAAAAUAUUUUGAAUAGAAAGUCAAUGUAAGGUGGAAAAUGCAUGGACGAAGUCAAAUUAGGUAAAAAAAGUCCAAAUACUUAUUGUUAAUGUCAUGGGGGAAAAAAGUCAAACUUUAGGUACUUUUAGAAAUCUGAAAUAUUUUUUAAAAGUCAAACUACGUAAGGUGAUUUAAAAAGAAAACUGUAAUAUGGAGAAGAAACGGUCAAAUAUUAAGUUGUAAAAAUGUCAUGGGACGAACAUUUUGUCAAUUGUUUUAGAAAGUUAAAAUAUGUCAUGGAAAAUAUUAGGUCAAAGAUUAUUGGGUCAAACUAAGGUAUAAAUGACAAUGUAUUAAGGGGAAUGAUGUUUUGAAAAAAUAUGUAAAAAUUUAGUAAAAUGUUUUUUAAAAAGUCCAAAUAUGUAAUAUGUGUUUUAUUGAACAUUCAAAAUACGUUCUGUCUAAAGUAAUUGAAAAAAAUAUUGGGUAAAUUGAAAAACAAAUGUAAUAAUUUCAUGUCCAAAAUAGUUUAAACAAAAGUCAUAGUGUAGUAUAUCAAAAACAAGUCAUAGUUUAGUUGGUCAAAAAAGUCAUAGUGUGUUUUAUGUGAAUUCACAGGACAGCUGGUGAGUGGGACAGACGGGAUCCGGGUUACGACAGCAACGCAGCGUCGUGGUGGGGUUAAAGGUCAGGUGGUUGGAACGUGUGAUUAAAGGAAAUGAGGUGUCGUGCAGUUCCCCUCUGGUCCUCUGGGUGGCGCUGUGGCUCCUCCCCCUGCGCUCUGUGACGACACGCGGACUGUUUCCAUCUCUGGGAAGAGCGACAGUGUUUUAAUGAGUCCUGCCUUACAUAUUCACAUUAUUCAUUCUACUGCAGGAGGAGGCUUCUUCUUCUCCGUGGAGUAAAAUACUUUAGAUAAGCAUUAUUGUGUAAUGAUCCAUGUAAACAAAUCAGAUGUUUGCUGGUAAAAUAUAAAACAGAACAAAUAAACAAUCACUUGAAGAAAAAUAGUUUGAAGGAACAAAUUCGAGGAUAAAACCUGCAGUCUUGUAUCUUCUUCAUCAUCUCCUGAACCUUCCUCAUAUCAUACAAAUGAACAAACACCAAACAAGCUCUUCUGCUGCCACACAAAACAGUUAAUAACAAUAACAAUAACCUUCCUUCACUUCUGUUCCCUGCAGACUGAGACAUAAACUCAUGUUUACAAUGUUUACUGAGGGAAUAAAUCCAGAGAGAAGUAGAGUCAUUUCCUCAUAGACGUCUAUGGGAGCAGAGGAGUCGCCCCCUGCUGGUCACUACAGAGAAGUAGAGUCAUUUCCUCAUAGACGUCUAUGGGAGCAGAGGAGUCACCCCCUGCUGGUCACUACAGAGAAGUAGAGUCAUUUCCUCAUAGACGUCUAUGGGAGCAGAGGAGUCGCCCCCUGCUGGUCACUACAGAGAAGUAGAGUCAUUUCCUCAUAGACGUCUAUGGGAGCAGAGGAGUCGCCCCCUGCUGGUCACUACAGAGAAGUAGAGUCAUUUCCUCAUAGACGUCUAUGGGAGCAGAGGAGUCGCCCCCUGCUGGUCACUGCAGAGAAGUAGA